rnacentral:rRNA from 1 species
UCGGGAAUUUUGGGCAAUGGGCGAAAGCCUGACCCAGCAACGCCGCGUGAAGGAUGAAGUAUUUCGGUAUGUAAACUUCGAAAGAAUAGGAAGAAUAAAUGACGGUACUAUUUAUAAGGUCCGGCUAACUACGUGCCAGCAGCCGCGGUAAUACGUAGGGACCAAGCGUUGUUCGGAUUUACUGGGCGUAAAGGGCGCGUAGGCGGCAAUUCAAGUCAUCUGUGAAAUCUCCGGGCUUAACUCGGAACGGUCAGGUGAUACUGCUUUGCUAGAGUGCAGAAGGGGCAAUCGGAAUUCUUGGUGUAGCGGUGAAAUGCGUAGAUAUGUGGAGGAAUACCGAUGGCGAAGGCAGCCCCCUGGGAUAACACUGACGCUCAUGCACGAAAGCGUGGGGAGCAAACAGGAUUAGAUACCCCAGUAGUCCCUGAGCGGGCUGGCAAGGCGCAU